rnacentral:rRNA from 1 species
CCUACGGGAUGCAGCAGUGAGGAAUAUUGGUCAAUGGACGAGAGUCUGAACCAGCCAAGUAGCGUGAAGGAUGACUGCCCUAUGGGUUGUAAACUUCUUUUAUAUGGGAAUAAAAUGUUCCACGUGUGGGAUUUUGUAUGUACCAUAUGAAUAAGGAUCGGCUAACUCCGUGCCAGCAGCCGCGGUAAUACGGAGGUACCGAGCGUUAUCCGGAUUUAUUGGGUUUAAAGGGAGCGUAGGUGGAUUUUUAAGUCCGUUGUGAAAGUUUGCGGCUCAACCGUAACAUUGCAGUUGAAACUGGCAGUAUUGAGUACAGUAGAGGUGGGCGGAAUUCGUGGUGUAGCGGUGAAAUGCUUAGAUAUCACGAAGAACUCCGAUUGCGAAGGCAGUUCACUGGACUGCAACUGACACUGAGGCUCGAAAGUGUGGGUAUCAAACAGGAUUAGAGACCCGUGGAGUC